UACGUAGGGGGCAAGCGUUGUCCGGAUUUAUUGGGCGUAAAGAGCGUGUAGGCGGCCAGAUAGGUCCGUUGUGAAAACUCGAGGCUCAACCUCGAGACGCCGAUGGAAACCAUUUGGCUAGAGUCCGGAAGAGGAGAGUGGAAUUCCUGGUGUAGCGGUGAAAUGCGCAGAUAUCAGGAAGAACACCCGUGGCUAAGGCGGCUCUCUAGUACGGUACUGACGCUGAGACGCGAAAGCGUGGGAGCGAACAGG
rnacentral:rRNA from 1 species